UGGGGAAUCUUCCGCAAUGGACGAAAGUCUGACGGAGCAACGCCGCGUGAGUGAUGACGGCCUUCGGGUUGUAAAGCUCUGUUAAUCGGGACGAAUGGUUCUUGUGCAAAUAGUGCGAGGAUUUGACGGUACCGGAAUAGAAAGCCACGGCUAACUACGUGCCAGCAGCCGCGGUAAUACGUAGGUGGCAAGCGUUUUCCGGAAUUAUUGGGCGUAAAGCGCGCGCAGGCGGAUUGGUCAGUCUGUCUUAAAAGUUCGGGGCUUAACCCCGUGAUGGGAUGGAAACUGCCAAUCUAGAGUAUCGGAGAGGAAAGUGGAAUUCCUAGUGUAGCGGUGAAAUGCGUAGAUAUUAGGAAGAACACCAGUGGCGAAGGCGACUUUCUGGACGAAAACUGACGCUGAGGCGCGAAAGCCAGGGGAGCGAACGGG
rnacentral:rRNA from 1 species